ensembl:lncRNA
GGUAUAGAUAUAGUAACAGAGAGAGAGGGAGUGGGUAUAGAUAUAGUAACAGAGAGAAGGAGUGGGUAUAGAUAGAAUAUAGUAACAGAAAGAGAGGGAGUGGGUAUAGAUAUAGUAACAGAGAGAGAGGGAGUGGGUAUAGAUAGAGUAAUAGAGAGAGAAGGAGUGGGUAUAGAUAGAGUAACAGAGAGAAGGAGUGGGUAUAGAUAUAAUAUAGUAACAGAAAGAGAGGGAGUGGGUAUAGAUAGAGUAACAGAGAGACGGAGUGGGUAUAGCUAGAGUAAUAGAGAGAAGGAGUGGGUUUAGAUAAGAUAUAGUAACAGAGAGAGAGGGAGUGGGUAUAGAUAA